rnacentral:rRNA from 1 species
GAUGAACGCUGGCGGCGUGCCUAAUACAUGCCAGUCGAGCGAACGGACGAGAAGCUUGCUUCUCUGAUGUUAGCGGCGGACGGGUGAGUAACACGUGGAUAACCUACCUAUAAGACUGGGAUAACUUCGGGAAACCGUAGCUAAUACCGGAUAAUAUUUUGAACCGCAUGGUUCAAAAGAGAAAGACGGUCUUGCUGUCACUUAUAGAUGGAUCCGCGCUGCAUUAGCUAGUUGGUAAGGUAACGGCUUACCAAGGCAACGAUGCAUAGCCGACCUGAGAGGGUGAUCGGCCACACUGGAACUGAGACACGGUCCAGACUCCUACGGGAGGCAGCAGUAGGGAAUCUUCCGCAAUGGGCGAAAGCCUGACGGAGCAACGCCGCGUGAGUGAUGAAGGUCUUCGGAUCGUAAAACUCUGUUAUUAGGGAAGAACAUAUGUGUAAGUAACUGUGCACAUCUUGACGGUACCUAAUCAGAAAGCCACGGCUAACUACGUG